rnacentral:rRNA from 1 species
CAGUCGCCGCGGGAAAACGUAGGUGGCAAGCGUUGUCCGGAAUUAUUGGGCGUAAAGGGCUCGCAGGCGGUUUCUUAAGUCUGAUGCGAAAGCCCCCGGCUCAACCGGGGAGGGUCAUUGGAAACUGGGAAACUUGAGUGCAGAAGAGGAGAGUGGAAUUCCACGUGUAGCGGUGAAAUGCGUAGAGAUGUGGAGGAACACCAGUGGCGAAGGCGACUCUCUGGUCUGUAACUGACGCUGAGGAGCGAAAGCGUGGGGAGCGAACAGGAUUAGAUACCCCCGUAGUCCCUGUCUCUUAUAA